GGCUGUGUCGGGUAGAGAGGGCAGUGGAAGGUCAGAGCUCUUCGCCCUUCACCACCUUCUCUACCCAGCACGGCU
rnacentral:pre_miRNA from 11 species